rnacentral:rRNA from 1 species
GGAGUAUGAUCAUCGAUCGACUGGUACUCGCGAUGCAUCUAGAUUUCCGUAGGUGAACCUGCGGAAGGAU